UACGUAGGGUGCGAGCGUUGUCCGGAAUUAUUGGGCGUAAAGAGCUCGUAGGCGGUGUGUCGCGUCGGCCGUGAAAACCUGGGGCUCAACUCUGGGCGUGCGGUCGAUACGGGCAUCACUUGAGUUCGGCAGGGGAGACUGGAAUUCCUGGUGUAGCGGUGAAAUGCGCAGAUAUCAGGAGGAACACCGGUGGCGAAGGCGGGUCUCUGGGCCGAUACUGACGCUCAUGCACGAAAGCGUGGGGAGCAAACAGG
rnacentral:rRNA from 1 species